rnacentral:rRNA from 1 species
CCUACGGGAGGCAGCAGUGAGGAAUAUUGGUCAAUGGGCGCGAGCCUGAACCAGCCAAGCAGCGUGAAGGAUGAAGGCCCUGAGGGUUGUAAACUUCUUUUAUAAAGGAAUAAAGUGAGGCACGUGUGCCUGUUUGUAUGUACUUUAUGAAAAAGGAUCGGCUAACUCCGUGCCAGCAGCCGCGGUAAUACGGAGGAUCCGAGCGUUAUCCGGAUUUAUUGGGUUUAAAGGGUGCGUAGAUGGGUUGUUAAGUCAGUUGUGAAAGUUUGCGGCGCAACCGUAAAAUUGCAAUUGAUACUGGCAGUCUUGAGUACGGUUGAGGUAGGCGGAAUUCGUGGUGUAGCGGUGAAAUGCUUAGAUAUCACGAAGAACUCCGAUUGCGAAGGCAGCUUACUAAACUGCCACUGACAUUGAUGCUCGAAAGUGUGGGUAUCGAACAGGAUUAGAUACCCGAGUAGUC